GCCCCUCACUUGUGGUGCACAUGGGGCAUGUACGGGCAACACUCAAUCCUGCCCAGGAAGCUUCCUUGAGCCUUGAGGGCUGCCUCACAAUGGAUCCUAGGCUUCUUUUUUCCCUUGCUGCUUGCCUAAAUGUAAAUUAAAUGCUCUCAAGGGAUGAGAGACACUGGAAGCUGGGACGCUCUUGGAACUCUGUUGCCAUCAUCAAGGUCAGCAGUCCAACUACCAGGGCCAGAGCCCCAUCAAAGAAUCUUCAGUGCCAGCCAGAAAGAAUGAUGAACUCCUCGUGUAAAGGGAGUUUGGGGCAACCAGUCAAACCAUGGCCUCAUGGGAAGCAGCUGACUAGGCAAUGAGAGAGGAAUACAAAAGACAAGGCACUGCGAAGCCAAGUCUGGUUGGGGAGAAGAAACCAAUAUGCCUGAAACAGGGAACCAGAAAGGACUCAGACAAAACUGCUGACAAGUAUGGGGUUUCUUGGGGUAGGUGGUGAAAAUAUUCCAAAAUAAGAUUAUAGCGAUGUUUUAAUAAUCCCCUGGAUAUAAUAAAAAAACAUCGAAUUGUACACUUCAAA
rnacentral:lncRNA from 1 species